rnacentral:rRNA from 1 species
UACAGAGGGUGCGAGCGUUGUCCGGAAUCACUGGGCGUAAAGGGCGCGUAGGCGGCGCGGUAAGCGUGCGGUGAAAGCCCGGGGCUCAACCCCGGGUCGGCCGUGCGGACUGCCGGGCUGGAGCACUGUAGAGGCAGGUGGAAUUCCGGGUGUAGCGGUGGAAUGCGUAGAGAUCGGGAAGAACAUCUGUGGCGAAGGCGGCCAGCUGGGCUGUUGCUGACGCUGAUGCGCGACAGCGUGGGGAGCAAACAGG